rnacentral:rRNA from 1 species
AUUGAACGCUGGCGGCAGGCCUAACACAUGCAAGUCGAACGAGUGGCGGACGGGUGAGUAAUGUCUGGGAAACUGCCUGAUGGAGGGGGAUAACUACUGGAAACGGGAGCUAAUACCGCAUACCAUCAGAUGUGCCCAGAUGGGAUUAGCUAGUAGGUGGGGUAACGGCUCACCUAGGCGACGAUCCGUAGCUGGUCUGAGAGGAUGACCAGCCACACUGUAACUGAGACACGGUCCAGAAUCGUACGGGAGGUAGCAGUGGGGAAUAUUGCACAAUGGGCGCAAGCAUGAUGCAGCCAUGCAGCGUGUAUGAAGAAGGCCUUCGGGUUGUAAAGUACUUUCAGCGGGGAGGCGUUACCCGCAUAAGAAGGACCGGCUAACUCCGCGCCAGCAGCCGCGGUAAUUC